rnacentral:rRNA from 1 species
UACGGAGGGUGCUAGCGUUGUUCGGAAUCACUGGGCGUAAAGGGCGUGUAGGCGGUCCGCUAAGUCUGAUGUGAAAUCCCCUCGCUCAACGAGGGAACUGCGUCGGAUACUGGUGGACUCGAGUACCGGAGAGGAAGGUGGAAUUCCCGGUGUAGCGGUGAAAUGCGUAGAUAUCGGGAGGAACAUCGGUGGCGAAGGCGACGUGCUGGGCUGCACCUGACGCUGAGAUGCGAAAGUGUGGGGAGCAAAC